CUCUGGAAUAAAGAUUCAAAGGCAGACACAGAGAGACCAUUAGAACAGCAUGGGAUCCGGCAACCGCAAGGACAAGAGGAAUAUGGCAGCUAUCAAUUCAGCUAGAGCCUAAGGCCACAGCAAGGUCAGCAGGGGAGCAAAGUAAGCCUGUGUGUGAGUGACAACAGAGGGUCUCAGAUUCCGCUGGGAUGGAGGCAGUUACACCCCUCCCUCUCCCGGGAUGCCCGCAGCUUACUCCUUCCACUAUGCCAUUCCUGGGGAACAAGGAGAGAAGCCGAGCCAAUGUGUCACACUCUCUUCAAUCCUCCUGGCACACGGACAGGCAGUGCCACAGACAUUUCCCUCCAAUUCGGUUUCUUCUCCAAGCCUGGAAGCAGUGGGAAGGGCUACAGCAGCAGGAAGCCCAUUUGACCCUUAAGUAGAACUCCUUAACCUUUGAAGAGGAUGUUGAGGACAGUGCUGAUUGACAGCUUAACUGGAAAUUAUAACCUUUUUUUUUUUUCAUUUCUACCACCUACUGCCAUGUUUGUUUCAUGAAGGCAGAGAUUUUUCACGUGUCUUGCUCAAUGCUUUCUCCCCAGUGCCUAGACAAUCACCUACACAGAGCAGGCAUUCAGCUAAUUUUUUUGGCUGAAUAACUCAUAGUAGAUUCAGAACCAGAUUUACCAUCUUCCUAAGAACCUUUUGAGCAUGUCACUUAGCUUUCUUAGAGCUCAGUUUUUUUAGGGCUCAGUUCCUCCCACCUUUAUCUGCGAGAAGAAAUUGAUAAAUGAAUGGCAUUAUAAACAGAAA